UUGAACUUACAAUCGUUACGUAAUUUUUACAGUGGUGUAUUUAUGCGUUUUGUAAGUUUAUACCGGUUUAAGUUUAAGAAUGUUUUAAAUUUCUUUUCAGGAUGUUAUUUGCAAUGAUCAAGCCCUUGUUCAACCUCAACCACACAUAAACUACCACAAUGACGUUUCAAGGUGUUAUCACAUUGAAAACCGCACUCAAGGUGACCUUGCGUGAGCUGCAAUCGAUUGAUUUUGUCUGGAGAGAAAAAAAGCUUUACUAUUGGAUAUUCACAAGCCGUAACGUACUAAGAUGUCAGACAGUACUUGAAAGAGUCGGAGUGCAAGAUGACUUUCGUGCUGUGAUCAUGAAUGACGUCUAACGGACUACAUUUAUGUUAGUAGUAAAUUCGUGCAUUAAGAUUUUCGUUUACGUAAUUCUGAUUAAAAUCAAAAACCUUU
rnacentral:lncRNA from 1 species